rnacentral:rRNA from 1 species
GAUGAACGCUGGCGGCGUGCCUAAUGCAUGCAAGUCGAGCGAACAGAUGAGGAGCUUGCUCCUCUGACGUUAGCGGCGGACGGGUGAGUAACACGUGGAUAACCUACCUAUAAGACUGGGAUAACUUCGGGAAACCGGAGCUAAUACCGGAUAAUAUAUUGAACCGCAUGGUUCAAUAGUGAAAGACGGUUUUGCUGUCACUUAUAGAUGGAUCCGCGCCGCAUUAGCUAGUUGGUAAGGUAACGGCUUACCAAGGCAACGAUGCGUAGCCGACCUGAGAGGGUGAUCGGCCACACUGGAACUGAGACACGGUCCAGACUCCUACGGGAGGCAGCAGUAGGGAAUCUUCCGCAAUGGGCGAAAGCCUGACGGAGCAACGCCGCGUGAGUGAUGAAGGUCUUCGGAUCGUAAAACUCUGUUAUUAGGGAAGAACAAAUGUGUAAGUAACUAUGCACGUCUUGACGGUACCUAAUCAGAAAGCCACGGCUAACUACGUG